rnacentral:rRNA from 1 species
CUACGUGCCAGCAGCCGCGGUAAUACGGAGGAUGCAAGCGUUAUCCGGAUUUAUUGGGUUUAAAGGGUGCGUAGGCGGUAUUACAAGUCAGGGGUGAAAUCUUGGUGCUUAACAUUAAAAUUGCCUUUGAAACUGUGGUACUUGAGUGUAAAAGAGGUAGGCGGAAUGUGUUGUGUAGCGGUGAAAUGCAUAGAUAUAACACAGAACCCCGAUUGCGAAGGCAGCUUACUAUCAUACAACUGACGCUGAUGCACGAAAGCGUGGGGAUCAAACAGGAUUAGAUACCCUGGUAGUCCACGCAGUAAACGAUGAUUACUAGCUGUUAGCGAUAUAUUGUUAGUGGCUAAGCGAAAGCGAUAAGUAAUCCACCUGGGGAGUACGUUCGCAAGAAUGAAACUCAAAGGAAUUGACGGGGGCCCGCACAAGCGGAGGAACAUGUGGUUUAAUUCGAUGAUACGCGAGGAACCUUACCCGGGCUUGAA